ensembl:snRNA U1 U1 spliceosomal RNA
AUACUUACCCAGCAGGGGAGACACCAUGAUCAAGCAGGUCGUUUUCCCAGGAUGAGGCUUGUCAAUUGCACUAGGGUCAUGUGACCCCUGCGAUUUCCCCAAAUGUGGGAAACUCUACUCCAUAAUUUAUGGUAGUGGGGGACUGUAUUUGGCCUUUCCCCAG